GCUCCAUACUUGCUACUCAGACUGUUUAUUAUUUUUUUUAUAAAGUAACAUUGAUUAAUUCCACUCGGUGUCUUUCGUAACUAGGGAUGGAGAGGCAUUAUUGCAAGGGUGCUGUAGAGCCCAAUACAGAUAAUUGUUUUAAUGUGCAUGUUUUUAUAAUAUUAAGAAAGCAAGUGUACUUUAUUUAGCCAGAUAUUACCUGGAAUAAUGUUACAAAUACCAAGUGUUCCAUAAAUGUGAUAUACAGUAUAAGCAGAUUCAAGCAACUUAUAAAAUCAGGCAUAAUGAAUAUGCACAGCUUUGGUCAUCGAAUCCAAAAAGAGAACAUAUGCAAAACCAAGCAACUGGUUCAAAGGAUGACUUCUGAAGGAGAGAAAAAAAGACACCUUCAAAACUAACCAAGCUUGGUACCUCGCAUCUGAAUUCUUCCUCAUGUCCCGACUGAGCUGACUCGUGUUGCACCCCACAAAUAAACACCCUGGUGCACUGCCAAUGACCUGUGCCCUUUCACAGCUGAUACCACUUUACAAUGCUCAAGUGGCAGAGCCAGCCUAAUGUCACCACACCUGAGCCCAUCUUCUGGCUAUUUAGGUCAAAACAGAAGAAGAGCUCAGACAUGGGGCAAUGAAUUCUAGGUGAGUUAUGAAUAUUGUUUUAAUAUUGUAUUUACUGCCUUUUUGAUAUUUUACAGCUUUGUUUUAAGUUUAUGAAUUCAUGAUCUCGUAUUGAAACUUGUUAUCUGAUGCUUGCCUUUUAGGCAACUGUGCUUUUGUUCCCUUUUUGAGGUUUUGUUAUUUUUCUCUGUUGCUUUCAUUUUUAGUAAGAUCCUUUUUGUAGUCUUUCUCUCCGAGACAAGGUUUUAUGGUUUCACCUUCUCUUGAAGGGCAUGUCAAUACUUUGGGACAAUUUAGUGUAACUUUAAAGAUUUAACCCCUUUAGUCCUGUAGGUCAAAGCAGGCUUGUGAGUUUAGGAGUCAAGCACAUUGGGGUGAGGCCUAAUCCAGCCAGGCAAAGGAGGACAGACCUGGCUUGUGAAGGCUUUUGGAGGCCUCACACCCUGUUCUCUAUGGAAUUGUCUCCAAUUCAUAACAGAAGAACAUUCUAGCACCUGGAUCUUAUGCCCAAUACUUCUCCAUGAGAAAGCAUCCUCAUUAGACCUCCAAACACCCUUACCUAGCUCCUUACAACCUGUAGUAGCAGCAAAUUCUACCCAAGAUCAUUCAAGAUAGUUGGACAGUUCUAUGCAUCAUGGAGAGUGAAAACCACCAUCCUGCUGGUCUUAUGAACUUAAUUUUGACCGUUAUUAUCUGUUGUCACAUUUGUUUCAGUAAAUACCCACAGUUCUUGAUGGUAGACAUUGAUGAUAAAGUAGAGUUACAUUAAACAGUGUUUUACCUAAGCUCCCACUAUGCUACUAAUGUUUGGUGCAAUACCCAGAGCUCAGCCUCUACUCCAUUGGUGAAACAUUCACAAUAGCUGAUUCCUUCUCACGUGCAACAAAAAACAAGUCUUAUGUGAAAGAUAACUAUAACCUUAGGCUUCAAGCAUUUUGUUCUUGGUUUGAAUCCACUCCAGUGUUUUAUAAUCCUUGCAUCCUGAGACCCUUUUAUAUCAUGUUUAUAAAAAUCAUGAAUAGGAUCUGUGCUGGUAUCCCAAAGGUUGCCAGUUCGAAUCCCCAUCAUUGCCAAAAGAGAUCA